ACACAGCAACUGUGACAGAGGACGUGAAGGAGAGAGAUGAUACAAAAGCCAAGAAAAAUGUUAAAAUUGUUAAGACCCUUAGUAUUGAGGAGAUAGCUGAUACCAAAGACACAAAGAGUGUGUCAGAUGCUGAG